GACGAACGCUGGCGGCGUGCUUAACACAUGCAAGUCGAACGGAAAGGCCCUGCUUUUGUGGGGUGCUCGAGUGGCGAACGGGUGAGUAACACGUGAGUAACCUGCCCUUUACUUUGGGAUAACUUCAGGAAACUGGGGCUAAUACCUGAUAGGAGCUCCUGCUGCAUGGUGGGGGUUGGAAAGUUUCGGAGGUUGGGGAUGGACUCGCGGCUUAUCAGCUUGUUGGUGGGGUAGUGGCUUACCAAGGCUUUGACGGGUAGCCGGCCUGGUAGGGUGACCGGCCUCAUUGGGACUGAGAUACGGCCCAGACUCCUACGGGAGGCAGAAGUGGGGAAUAUUGCACAAUGGGCGGAAGCCUGAUGCAGCCACGCCGCGUGCGGGAUGACGGCCUUCGGGUUGUAAACCGCUUUCGCCUGUGACGAAGCGUGAGUGACGGUAAUGGGUAAAGAAGCACCGGCUAACUACGUG
rnacentral:rRNA from 1 species